CUUUAGUAGACUUUUUAGUGUCGCUGUUAAGACAGUGUUAUAAAUGUUGCUGAUGUUAAUAGCACACAGAAAAGCCAGAGAAAGUCAAGUACUGGUAAUUGCAUGCAGGCAAAGUCCCUUCAGAUAGCCACGCAUAGACAUUCACUACCAUUAUGGAUCAAGUUAUACAGUGAUGACACCUCCAAUUCAUGUCUCAUUGAUGGUCUUAGAGAACCUGUCUAUGACCACCAGGAUGCAGGUAUGGGAGUUGGAAGGAAGGAGAUCAGUCAAAAAAACUGAGGUGGGAUCAGGGCCAACAAGGGUUUACUGUGUGUUUACCGUGCGAUAGGUGUAGGGGAUUCUUGGAGAUGGCGCAGACUGAGUAGCUCUUGACGAAUUGGGAGACGUCCCAAGCCACCAGUAGUGAUUUUGGAGGAGCGAGAGGGUUUGCUGGCUGCCUGGGUGUCCAGAGCCCAGAGAUGAAUGUACUCAGUCAAGAAGGGUUAGCCAUAGGGAUGAUGGUACAUAAACCAUAAAUCCGGAGCAGGUUCAGGGCGAGUGGCUUCCAUGGUCUGGUCAUUAAGGGACCACUGGAUGGGAGUCACAAUAAUAGCUGGAGGGAGUAUGGGUUCCGGAGGAGAGUUAAUGUCUUGGAGUGAUGGAGACAGGAGAGUGCAUCUGCUUUUUGGUUCUUUGAGCCGGGCUGGAGUCGGUUGAGUCGUUCAGCAUCUCUGUGAUAUUCCAGAUUAUGAUGAUCAGUUAUGACUUCAAAAUGGUGGUUGGCUCUGUCCAGCCAGUGUCACCAGUCCUCUAGGGCAAGCUUGAUAGCUAGGAGUUCCCGGUUACCAUAGUUUUGCUCCACCGGGGAUUGUUUCUUGGAGUAGAAGGCACAUGGAUGGAUAAUGUUAGGCUAUUUGUGAUGCUGGGAUAGGACUGCUCCUACCCUGACCAUAGAUGCAUCUACUUCAACUACAAAAGGAAGUUGUAGAUCUUGGUGUGCCAGAGUAGGAGCGGUGCAAAAG
ensembl:lncRNA